UCCAGCUGCUUGAGGACGUGUUCCCGUCGCCGCCCCGCUGCCCGCUUCCCCCCGGCUCCCCCAGGGCCGCCGCCGCCGCUCCCGGCCCCGCUGUUCCGCUCCGAUUUCGAGCUGGGCGCCAUUUUCACCCCCUCCCUCCACUUCCGGAGCAACCGGUCCCCUAGCCCCGCCCCCUCCGCGUUCUGAUUGGCCCUUUCUCCUCACAGCGGCCAGCCGGUUGGGUGACAACCGGCAUUCUUGGCCUCUUCCCGCUACACCUGUCCAUCAAAGCUAUUUCGGCUUUUGGUUGGUAGAGAUGGCAACAGCUCCCGCCUCAUUCCCGCCCUUCAUUACGGAUAAACCACUCAGAAACCAUUGUGGCGUUCUUCGGCCAGAAAACUUUAACUGAAUAGGCGAAGAUUCCUGUCAGGCGUGACAUUGACACGCCCCUGAUGGAUCAGACAUAAAAUGAGCUCUCCUGAAGACAUGGCACUUGUGUACCGAGGCUGCUGGCUGCUCGUAUUACAGUAGCAGAAGAGCCAACAUACUUAAUGGAGUUUAUGGAGAACCCAACUAACAGGACAGGCCAUAAACAGGGGCGUGAGUUCCAGGUGCAGAGUUGGGGGAGAGGGCAGCUCAUCCCUAGACAAGGAGUCUUCGAGGACACUUAACAUAGAUAGAAGUGUUUGGGUCUGAAUUAGGGGUAGCAGCCUCACUUACAGAGCUACAUUGUCAAAUAGCACGUGACAACUGACCAACACAAUGUCCACUGCAGCUGGGACACUGGUGAA